rnacentral:rRNA from 1 species
AGCUCCAAUAGCGUAUAUUAAAGUUGUUGCAGUUAAAAAGCUCGUAGUUGGAUCUCGGGUGCAGGCUUGCGGGCCGCCUCGCGGCGGUCGCCGCUCGCCCUGCCCUCCUCGCCGGUGUCCGCGCCCUGGUGCUCUUGAUUGAGUGUCUCGGCCGGCCGGAACGUUUACUUUGAAGAAAUUAAAGUGCUCAAAGCAGGCCUAUGCCGCCUGAAUAAUGUCGCAUGGAAUAAUGGAAUAGGACCUCGGUUCUAUUUUGUUGGUUUUCGGAGCUCGAGGUAAUGAUUAAUAGGGACUGACGGGGGCAUUCGUAUUGCGGCGCUAGAGGUGAAAUUCUUGGACCGUCGCAAGACGAACUACAGCGAAAGCAUUUGCCAAGAAUGUUUUCA